GCUGCGAAGAUGCAGAGCCAAUUAUAAAUAAAUCCACUCGUGCUGUCAUUGGUCGAUGUCACGCCAGGAACAAAUCGUGCAUAUAGACAUGUACAAAACGUCGGAGUCAUUCUGCAUUUUUUUCUCAAUACAGUACUUUGGAAAAAACACGAUAAAUGAAGCGCAAUAUCGGGAAGGAUCACUGGACUGGACCAGGGGCUGUCACGGUUCUGUUUUCGGUCUGGCCAGCAGGUGGCAUGAGCGGACUUUUGGGUGCACACCUGCUGCCAAUCGAUGAUUAUUAGACUCGGUAUUUCAGGACUCUUGCUGCGCACCUGUUGUCGGAGUAUUGUUUAUGCCUUGCUGCUUCCUUGCUCAUAGACCUUUUGCUAUAGACCUUGUCAUUUUUCGCUUUUGAACUCUCGUACUAUUGAUCUUCAAUAGGGUUCCGGUUCUGGACGUUCCAGAGGUACUGGGCCUUGGCGAAUGCUUGCGCCAGGGAGUGUUCCCGCGGCUACAGCCCAUGACUUCGCUGAGGUCAGCCGUCACUAUGAGAUUCAUGCUCCCUGCACGCCAGGGUUGCCGCACACCGACCAGCUGUCAGCAGUGGUUCCCACCCACGCCUGCUUCUGCAGCAGGAUGUCGAGUUGCAGCUUGGCCUGUUUCAUCAGCUCACCUAGUUGCCUCCCGAGGGUCCUCCUGGACAUGAGGUGGAACUGAGGACAGAGGUAGACAAACAUCUCCCUUGUGUCGGGGUGUUCACAAAGUCUGAGGGGGGGAAAGUGUCUCCACAAACCACCUGGGAAUUGGAAUUUGAAAACAAUUUCAUAAAUCUGCUAUUGAACAAAGACGAAUUAAAUUAGCAGCAUUAGAAAUACGUUUUUGUUCAUUUUAAAUGGAAACAUACGAAACUGAAACCUGAGAGAAAA